rnacentral:SRP_RNA from 1 species
GCCAGGUGUGGUGGCUCAUGCCUGUAAUCCCAGCACUUUGGGAGGCCGAGGCAGGCGGAUCACCUGAGGUCAGGAGUUCCAGACCAGCCUGACCAACAUGGUGAAACCCUGUCUCUA